rnacentral:rRNA from 1 species
GCCUGCCGCGUGCAGGAAGAAGGCGUUAUGCGUUGUAAACUGNUUUUGUCGUGGAAAAAAAGAGUAGUGCGCUACUAAUUGACGGUGCACGAUGAAUAAGCAUNNGCUAACUCCGUGCCAGCAGCCGCGGUAAUACGGAGGAUGCGAGCGUUGUCCGGAUUUAUUGGGUUUAAAGGGUGCGUANGCGGUUGUAUAAGUCGGCGGUAAAAUUCGGUAGCUCAACUAUCGGCGUGCCAUCGAUACUGUACGGCUUGAGUAUUUGUGAGGUGGGCGGAAUUGGUAGUGUAGCGGUGAAAUGCAUAGAUAUUACCAGGAACGUCNAUUGCGAAGGCAGCUCACUGACAGAUAACUGACGCUGAGGCACGAAAGCGUGGGGAUCAAACAGGAUUAGAUACCCUGGUAGUCCACGCUGUAAACGAUGAUAACUCGCUGUUCGGUACAUAGUGCUGAGUGGCCAAGGGAAACCGAUAAGUUAUCCACCUGGGGAGUACGACCGCAAGGUUGAAACUCAAAGGAUUGACGG